rnacentral:rRNA from 1 species
UUCUGGCUCAGGAUGAACGCUAGCGGCAGGCUUAACACAUGCAAGUCGAGGGGCAGCGGGUCUAGCAAUAGAUGCCGGCGACCGGCGAAAGGGUGAGUAACGCGUGAGCAACGUGCCCGUAUGUGGGGGAUAGUCGAUGGAAACGUCGCGUAAUACCCCGUAACAUAUGGAGCUGCAUGGUUCCAUAUUGAAAGGUUAAUUGCAUACGGAUCGGCUCGCGUGCCAUUAGGUAGACGGCGGGGUAACGGCCCACCGUGCCGACGAUGGCUAGGGGUUCUGAGAGGAAGGUCCCCCACAUUGGAACUGAGACACGGUCCAGACUCCUACGGGAGGCAGCAGUGAGGAAUAUUGGACAAUGGCCGGAAGGCUGAUCCAGCCAUGCCGCCGUGCGGGAGGACGGCCCUAUGGGUUGUAAACCGCUUUUGCGGGGGAGCAAUAAGUGUUACGUGUAACACGAUGAGAGUACCCUGCGAAUAAGCAUCGGCUAACUCCGUGCCAGCCGCCGC